rnacentral:misc_RNA from 1 species
AACUAUUAUUUGUUUAGUAAAUAAGAGUUUUAGAUAUCCAACAUUACAGAUAGUUUACAAUCAUAGAAACCAGAAACUACAAAUCUUGUUCCAAGUGAUGCUAAAACAGGCAUUGAUUCAUAAUAGAAGACAUGAACACAGCACAGUAGAAGACAUGAACACAUCACAGCCAAACAGACUGAAGAAAGAACACCGAUUUUGCAACCGUCUAUCGGAAACAGGCCAAGCACUCCUCCAACAUACAACAACAACAAAGUGUAGCUAAGCAUCCAUGAAGGAAGGAGGAACAAUCAUUUCGAUCAUCGUAGUGAUAGUGCUGAUGAUGAUAAGGCGGUGGAGGAGGAGGAGGCGGCGCCGAUGGCUGAUACCCAUCAUAGAAAUACCCUUGAUAGCCUUGGUGCGGCGGCGGUGGUGGCGGUGGCUGAUGACCGGGAUAUCCAGGCUGCGGCGGAGGGUACCCGGGAGGAGGGUAGGUUUCCGGCGGAGGAUGGUGGUAGCCGUAAGCGUA